rfam:Ictidomys tridecemlineatus contig092493, whole genome shotgun sequence.
GAGAGUAUGGCUCAGUGAUUAAGUGCUUGCCUAACAUGCAGGAGGCCCCUGGGUUCAAUCCCCAGUAAUCACA